AAGGACCUAAUAAUUUAGAAGAUUUGAUUUAAUGAUUUGAGAAUAAGAGAAGAGAUUGACCUGCGAGUCAUAAAUCCUCCCAUUGACUUCAUCCAGUUAUAAAGAGGACUUGAUACAAGCUGGUCUAGAGACACCUAAAUCAGUCACACUGAUUUACUUUAAUGGCAUGGGUCAGCUCGAAUCAAUCAAUGACCUAAUCAAAAUAUGAUCUACCAAAUUGGCCAAAUAAGUG
rnacentral:lncRNA from 1 species